GCCAAGAUGGUCUAGUGGUUUGAGCAUUUGACUACAGCUCUGGAGACCAGAGUUCAAAUCCCUAUUCAAGCA